AUGAACGCUGGCGGCGUGCCUAAUACAUGCAAGUCGAACGGGGAUUGUAGCAAUACACUCCCAGUGGCGAACGGGUGAGUAACGCGUUGGUGACCUGCCCCGAAGAGAGGGAUAACAGUCCGAAAGGAUUGCUAAUACCCCAUGUGAUCAUCGGUUUUAGAAUCCGGUGAUUAAACGGAGUAAUCCGCUUUGGGAGGGGCCUGCGUCCCAUCAGCUAGUUGGUAAGGUAACGGCUUACCAAGGCGAUGACGGGUAGGGGACCUGAGAGGGUGGCCCCCCACAAUGGAACUGAAACACGGUCCAUACACCUACGGGUGGCAGCAGUAGGGAAUAUUGCUUAAUGGGCGAAAGCCUGAAGCAGCAACGCCGCGUGCGCGAUGAAGGCCUUCGGGUUGUAAAGCGCUUUUUGAGGGGAUGAGGAAGGACAGUACCUUCAGAAUAAGCCUCGGCUAACUACGU
rnacentral:rRNA from 1 species